rnacentral:rRNA from 1 species
UACGAAGGGGGCGAGCGUUGUUCGGAUUUACUGGGCGUAAAGGGCGCGCAGGCGGCUUUGUUUGUCAGGCGUGAAAGCCCCGGGCUUAACCUGGGAACUGCGUUUGAUACGGCAGGGCUAGAGUUCGGGAGAGGAGAGUGGAAUUCCCAGUGUAGAGGUGAAAUUCGUAGAUAUUCGGAAGAACACCAGUGGCGAAGGCGACUCGCUGGACAGGUAUUGACGCUGAGGUGCGAAAGCGUGGGGAGCAAACAGG